UGGUAGGCUUAAACCAUGGCCUACUCUAGUAACGGCCUAUAGGCUGGCUAUCCCUGUGUUGCCGAAUGGAUCCAGCCUUUCCCAUCCCCUUUUCAUAGCCAGAGGGCCAAAAGUUAUCUUUAGAUGUUCCACUUUCCAAACCAUCUUUCCACCGUUUAGAAUUUUCAGACCAGAAGCAGUUACUACGACGUCGUCGUCAACAUGUUUCGGUUGGUCGUCAUGCCUUUUUCAUGUUAAGCACCACUCUGAAUGCUUUUAUUUCUGAUUUCCAUUUGUAGUUGUGCAGCACAAGUGACCCAUACUAGUUGCUGCUUGCUGCUUCGAGUCAUCAACAUGCAAAGUACCAGAUUGUCGAUUCCUUUUUCUAAUUAUAUACUGUUAAUUACAACAUUCAGGAACAACAGUUGUUGCUAUGAGCCACCAUAAUGCGAGUUACCACACUAUUGUAUUUCCAUUUUAUAAUGGUCAUUGUGACGGUUUCACAGCUUGCAGUUUCAUGAAGAGUUACUGUCUACGAUAACAUUAAAUCAAAAGAUUUGAAAGGUGUUACGGAGUUCUAUUUUUGCAGUUUCAUGACCUUUCUUUUCUUCGGUUUGUUGUAUACAAUUGGUUUUUUUUCAAGUCGUACACGAAAUCAUUUUUCCUCUGUUCGCAAAAUAGCAAAAAAAAAUUUUUUGCAUAGAAACGUGCACAAGAAUUUGCUGUGUUCCCCGUUAGAAGAACAUUGGAAUUCUUCACAGUUGGCUAAACGCAGUACCGCAAAUUCAGUGAGAUCAUCAACAAGUUUACUGCAUGUCCGUAUUUGGGGAAAUACUCUUCUGAAGAACUGGUAGAGCGUCCAUAUACGAUACGUCACUGGCUCACAUGGGUAUUUUAAACCACCGCGAUCUAAAAAAUUAUGUAUCUUGCGUUGCUUGUAGGAGUAACUAACUUUGAGUAACAGUCGAUGCAAAAAUUUUCCAGCUGUCCAAACUUGUGAAUGGCAUAUCCCGUUAUGUGCGCGCAAGAUAACGCAUCCGGAAUGAAUGGAACGUGGCCUGUCA